CAAAAACGUCUGGCACCGUUACUUCUGGAAGCUCAUUUAAGUCGCUGCUCCUCUCACUGUGUUCGUACGGGUCGAGCCCGUUCACUGACUGGGUUCUUUCAAGAUAUCCAUGCCAGAAGAGGAGCUAACCACAUCAUGUUUGUGCUCUUAACCACUUAUUUGCAGGCAGCUACCAACUUCUAUUUGAGGAGGCAUGGUGGUUGAGCGUUGGUGAAGCGUGUGACCCGUGUAUGGAUGCUACAGUCCUCGACACAGCCAUUAUGGGUUUCAGCCCUGGCCCAUUGACCUUUGCUGUGUGUCUCCCCCCCUCUUGUCAGUCAACUUUCAAAAAUAAAGGCCACUAGUGCCACAAAAUUACGAGAAAACUAAAUUCUAGUUGAGCUUGAAGGUGCCGACUUCAGAGGCAGGUGCUUGUUUCUUGGUCAGCACACUCUCUUCCAGCUUUUGAUAGGGUUGAGAGUUCUGAGACACCCCACACAUGAUGAUAAAAAAAUUGUAGACAUAACAAGUUCGGUCCUACAGUGUGUUGUGUACAUGGCAAGCACAACACAUUGCACACAGACA